UACGGAGGGUGCAAGCGUUAUCCGGAUUCACUGGGUUUAAAGGGUGCGUAGGAGGGCAGGUAAGUCCGUGGUGAAAUCUCUGAGCCUAACUCAGAAACUGCCGUGGAUACUACCGGUCUUGAAUACCGUGGAGGUGAGCGGAAUAUGUCAUGUAGCGGUGAAAUGCUUAGAUAUGACAUAGAACACCAAUUGCGAAGGCAGCUCACUACCCGAAUAUUGACUCUGAGGCACGAAAGCGUGGGGAUCAAACAGG
rnacentral:rRNA from 1 species